GGAAUAUUGGACAAUGGACGGAAGUCUGAUCCAGCCAUCCCGCGUGCAGGAUGAAGGCGCUACGCGUUGUAAACUGCUUUUGUACAGGAAGAAACGCCUGGAUUUAUCUGGGCCUGACGGUACUGUAAGAAUAAGCACCGGCUAACUCCGUUCCAGCAGCCGCGGUAAUACGGAGGGUGCAAGCGUUAUCCGGAAUCACUGGGUUUAAAGGGUGCGUAGGUGGCUCUAUAAGUCAGGAGUGAAAGCCUGCGGCUUAACCGUAGAAUUGCUUUUGAUACUGUAGAGCUUGAAUUAGGUUGAGGUUGGCGGAAUGUGACAUGUAGCGGUGAAAUGCAUAGAUAUGUCAUAGAACACCAAUUGCGAAGGCAGCUGACUAGACCUUAAUUGACACUGAGGCACGAAAGCGUGGGGAGCG
rnacentral:rRNA from 1 species